rnacentral:rRNA from 1 species
AACGAACGCUGGCGGCAGGCCUAACACAUGCAAGUCGAGCGAGGACUUCGGUCCUAGCGGCGGACGGGUGAGUAACGCGUGGGAACGUGCCCUUUGCUUCGGAAUAGCCCUGGGAAACUGGGAGUAAUACCGGCUGAGCCCUUUGGGGGAAAGAUUUAUCGGCGAAGGAUCGGCCCGCGUUGGAUUAGGUAGUUGGUGGGGUAAUUGCCUACCAAGCCGACGUUCCAUAGCUGGUUUGAGAGGCUGAUCAGCCACACUGGGACUGAGACACGGCCCAGACUCGUGCGGGAGGCAGCAGUGGGGAAUCUUAGACAAUGGGGGAAACCCUGAUCUAGCCAUGCCGCGUGAGCGAUGAAGGCCUUAGGGUUGUAAAGCUCUUUCAGCUGGGAAGAUAAUGACGGUACCAGCAGAAGAAGCCCCGGCUAACUCCGUG